GGGGACGACUUGGCUUCGACUGGAGCUAAUAGUCUACGAUUGCAUGUCGGACUGAGCACUUCCGUUACACGGCUCACAAUUGCUUAAAUGCAAACAAUACAAAUUACCGCCCAGCUUACGCAGUAGCAUAAGUUUUACCCCCUCUUAGAGGACGGGCUGCUUCACCGAUGGACUCUAGAUAAGUCGGAUUCGAAGUAUAACCCUUAUGUAGAUAUAUAUGAAGUCUGUCUCAGCUUCAUACGAAUCCCGAGACUCGUUGUGUGUAGCUUUGCAAGUUGUGUGAAGCACAAUUAAACAUAAACAACUUUUCUAAGCAUGUAGACGUCGUAGAAAAUUAGCUUUAGGACUGCGGUUCGAUCCCGCACGUCUCCACCA
rnacentral:tmRNA from 1 species